rnacentral:rRNA from 1 species
AACGAACGCUGGCGGCAUGCCUAACACAUGCCAGUCGAACGAGACCUUCGGGUCUAGUGGCGCACGGUUGCGUAAGGCGGGGGAACCUGCCCUUAGGCUCGGAAUCACUCCCCGAAAGGGGUGCUAAUACCGGUUAAUGUCUUCGGACCAACGAUUUAUCGCGUGUGGAUGGGCCCGCGUUGGAUUAGUUAGUUGGUAGGGUAAAAGCCUACCAAGGCGACGAUCCAUAGCUGGUCUGAGAGGAUGAUCAGCCACACUGGGACUGAGCCCCGGCCCAGACUCGUACGGGAGGCAGGAGUGGGGGAUAUUGGGGCAUGAGCGAAAGCCUGAUACAGCAAUGCCGGGUGAGUGAUGAAGGCGUUAGGGUUGUAAAGCUCUUUUACCCGGGAUGAUAAUGACAGUACCGGGAGAAUAAGCACCGGCUAACUACGUG